rnacentral:rRNA from 1 species
UGGGGAAUAUUGCGCAAUGGGGGGAACCCUGACGCAGCCAUGCCGCGUGAAUGAAGAAGGCCUUCGGGUUGUAAAGUUCUUUCGGUAUUGAGGAAGGUUGAUGUGUUAAUAGCACAUCAAAUUGACGUUAAAUACAGAAGAAGCACCGGCUAACUCCGUGCCAGCAGCCGCGGUAAUACGGAGGGUGCGAGCGUUAAUCGGAAUAACUGGGCGUAAAGGGCACGCAGGCGGUUAUUUAAGUGAGGUGUGAAAGCCCUGGGCUUAACCUAGGAAUUGCAUUUCAGACUGGGUAACUAGAGUACUUUAGGGAGGGGUAGAAUUCCACGUGUAGCGGUGAAAUGCGUAGAGAUGUGGAGGAAUACCGAAGGCGAAGGCAGCCCCUUGGGAAUGUACUGACGCUCAUGUGCGAAAGCGUGGGGAGCAAACAGGAUUAGAUACCCUGGUAGUCCACGCUGUAAACGCUGUCGAUCUGGGGGUUGGGGUUUAACUCUGGCGCCCGUAGCUAACGUGAUAAAUCGACCGCCUGGGGAGUACGGCCGCAAGGUUA